UACGUAGGGUGCGAGCGUGUCCGGAAUUAUUGGGCGUAAAGAGCUCGUAGGCGGUGUGUCACGUCGGCCGUGAAAAACCUGCAGCUUAACUGUGGGCGUGCGGUCGAUACGGGCAUCACUGGAGUUCGGUAGGGGAGACUGGAAUUCCUGGUGUAGCGGUGAAAUGCGCAGAUAUCAGGAGGAACACCGGUGGCGAAGGCGGGGUCUCUGGGCCGAUACUGACGCUGAGGAGCGAAAGCGUGGGGAGCAACAGG
rnacentral:rRNA from 1 species